ACUUGUUAUAUGCACACACCUGUGCCUUAUUGUCAUUAACAUUGUCGUGCCAUUUAAUAGCAGAUUGUCAACCCAUCCACCACUCGUGUUUGUUGUAGGGGCUGUUUUGUGAAAAUUUGUUCCCAAAUAAGUCUGCUAUUGAACAAGACUGGGUGGGCUCUACAUCUGAAAAUGCACACCUGAAAGUUAUUCUCCCUCUUUUGCAAGAAAGAGAGAGAUUGGAGGCAGAGAUAGCAGCAUGGAGAGGUAGAAGCCUAUGAGGGGAGACAAAGAAGAGAAGAGGAGGCUGCAGGCAGGGAGGCUGAUUGGGCUGGGCAAUCACCUGUGCAGCUCUACCUUCAGAUCUUAUUUAGCCAGGACUGACUCUCUCCUCUUAGGAGAUAUAAUAAAUCAUACCAUUGGCAUGCAAA